rnacentral:rRNA from 1 species
AGUAGUUUGACUCCGUGGCUACGAGGACGAACGCUGGCGGCGUGCCUAACACAUGCAAGUUGAGCGACGAACCAGGGCUUGCCCUGGGGCAAAGCAGCGAACGGGUGAGUAACACGUGGGUAACCUGCCCCGAUGACCGGGACAACCCGAGGGAAACUCGGGCUAAUACCGGAUGUGCUCACUGAACUUCGGUUCAGUGCGUAAAGGAAGCUUCGGCCUCCGCUUCGGGAGGGGCCCGCGGCCCAUUAGCUUGUUGGUGAGGUAACGGCUCACCAAGGCAACGAUGGGUAGCUGGUCUGAGAGGACGAUCAGCCACACUGGGACUGAGACACGGCCCAGACUCCUACGGGAGGCAGCAGUGGGGAAUCUUGCGCAAUGCGCGAAAGCGUGACGCAGCAACGCCGCGUGGGGGAAGAAGGCCUUCGGGUUGUAAACCCCUUUCAGGAGGGACGAAGGUGCGGCGGUGAAUAGCCGUCCGCACUGACGGUACCUCCACAAGAAGCCCCGGCUAACUACGUG